CACGCUGUAUUUCCUGUCCUUAUAGGACCGUGAGGGCACAGAGCAGAGGAGGAUGGAUGCGGGUGAGCGUCCUCACGAAGAAGGUGAGUGUAUCACUUGGGCUCCUGCAGCCACAGCAUCCAGAGAAGAAGCUAAAAAAAGAGAAAGAUUUUAGAUCAGCCUUCAUCAAAAUUACAAAUUUGUGCUGCAAAUGACACUAUGAAGAAAGUGAAAAGAAAACUCACAGAAUGGAAGAAAAUAUCCCCAAAUUUUAUAUCUGAUAAAAGACUUGUAUCCAGAAUGUAUAAAGAACUCCUGUAACUCAGUCAUAACAGUUUGGACAAAGUCUCUAUCAAUAACUUGGAGAAAAAUAAAAUAAAACGGGCAAAGGGUCCAAACAGGCGUUUCUCCAAGAGGACAUACAGAUGGCAAGUAAGCGCUUGCAAAGACGCAUGGCACCGCUCACAUCAGGGAGAGCAAAUCACAGCGUGACCGCCCGUCUUUCUGAGGACGCUGUCAUCAGAAAGACAGACAAAAACCAGUGUGGAAGAAGAUUUGGAGAAACUGGAACCCACGUGUGCUGCUGGUGGAAACGAAGGAUGACCCGGCCGCUGUAGAAACAGUCUGGCAGCUCCUUAAAAGGUAAAAAAUACACAGUUACCGUAUGACCUGGCAGUUCUACUACUUUUAGGUAUAAACCCAAGAAAGUUGACAAUUUACGUUCACCAAACCCUUGUACAUGCACGUUCAUCAUAGCCCUACCUGGAAACACCCCACAUUUCAUCCACUGAGGAACAGACAAAGCGCGGUCCAGACACACAAUGGAAGAUUAACUGGACAGAAUAGGGGUAAAAGCACCAGCGCUCCCUAUGACACUGAGGAACCUCAAAACACUGUGCUCAGCGAAGGAAGCCAGCACAGAAGAUCACAUUACACUGUCAUUUCACACCAGACCUCCAGAACUGGGAAAUCCAGGGAAACGGGAACCAGAUGAACCAGAGGAUUCACCAACCUCUUCCUGCCACCCACACUGCUCAGUGACCAUCCGCGGGGAUGAACGAGUUGGUUCCAUGGUAGGUAAGACAAAGGCGCAAGGAAACCACCAGCAGCCUCAGCCUAAUGAGGCCUAAUCACACCUGUUAGCCUUGGGAGGCAGACAAGGAGAGAAUAAAUAAGAGCAGUUCAUCUGGGGAAGCGUUACU
rnacentral:lncRNA from 13 species